AAACCAACAGGGAUUGCCUUAGUAGCGGCGAGUGAAGCGGCAAAAGCUCAAAUUUGAAAUCUGGCGCCUUCGGUGUCCGAGUUGUAAUUUGAAGAUUGUAACCUUGGGGUUGGCUCUUGUCUAUGUUUCUUGGAACAGGACGUCACAGAGGGUGAGAAUCCCGUGCGAUGAGAUGCCCAAUUCUAUGUAAGGUGCUUUCGAAGAGUCGAGUUGUUUGGGAAUGCAGCUCUAAGUGGGUGGUAAAUUCCAUCUAAAGCUAAAUAUUGGCGAGAGACCGAUAGCGAACAAGUACAGUGAUGGAAAGAUGAAAAGAACUUUGAAAAGAGAGUGAAAAAGUACGUGAAAUUGUUGAAAGGGAAGGGUUUGAGAUCAGACUCGAUAUUUUGUGAGCCUUGCCUUCGUGGCGGGGUGACCCGCAGCUUAUCGGGCCAGCAUCGGUUUGGGCGGUAGGAUAAUGGCGUAGGAAUGUGACUUUACUUCGGUGAAGUGUUAUAGCCUGCGUUGAUGCUGCCUGCCUAGACCGAGGACUGCGAUUUUAUCAAGGAUGCUGGCAUAAUGAUCCCAAACCGCCCGUCUU
rnacentral:rRNA from 1 species